GCAGUCGUGGCCGAGUGGUUAAGACGAUGUACUACAAAUCCAUUGGGGUCUCCCCGCACAGGUUCGAAUCCUGUCGAAUGCG
rnacentral:tRNA from 1 species